rnacentral:rRNA from 1 species
AAAAGUCGUAUCAAGGUCUCCGUUGGUGAACCAGCGGAGGUGAUCAUUACCGAGUUUACAACUCGCAAACCCCAAUGUGAACGUUACCAAUCUGUUGCCUCGGCGGGAUUCUCUUGCCCCGGGCGCGUCGCAGCCCCGGAUCCCAUGGCGCCCGCCGGAGGACCAACUCCAAACUCAAUUUUCUCUCCGUCGCGGCUCCCGUCGCGGCUCUGUUUUAUUUUUGCUCUGAGCCUUUACUCGGCGACCCUAGCGGGCGUCUCGAAAAUGAAUCAAAACUUUCUAACAACGGAUCUCUUGGUUCUGGCAUCGAUGAAGAACGCAGCGAAAUGCGAUAAGUAAUGUGAAUUGCAGAAUUCAAGUGAAUCAUCGAAUCUUUGAACGGAACAUUGGGGCCCGCCAGUAUUCUUGGGGGGCAUGCCUGUCCGAGCGUCAUUUCAACCCUCGAACCCCUCCGGGGGGUCGGCGUUGGGGAUCGGCCCCUCACCGGGCCGCCUCCGAAAUACAGUGGCGGUCUCGCCGCAGCCUCUCCUGCGCAGUAGUUUGCACACUCGCACCGGGAGCGCGGCGCGUCCACAGCCGUAAAACACCCCAAACUUCUGAAAUGUUGACCUCGGAUCAGGU